UUCCGGUUGAUCCUGCCGGACCUGACUGCUAUCGGAUUGAUACUAAGCCAUGCGAGUCAUUGUAGUAAUACAAGGCAGACGGCUCAGUAACGCGUAGUCAACCUACCCUGUGGACGGGGAUAACCUCGGGAAACUGAGAAUAAUACCCGAUAGAACAUUAUGCCUGGAAUGGUUUAUGUUUCAAAUAAUUUAUUGCCGUAGGAUGGGACUGCGUCCUAUCAGUUUGUUGGUGAGGUAAUGGCCCACCAAGACUAUUACAGGUACGGGCUCUGAGAGGAGUAGCCCGGAGAUGGGUACUGAGACACGGACCCAGGCCCUAUGGGGCGCAGCAGGCGAGAAAACUUUGCAAUGUGCGAAAGCACGACAAGGUUAAUCCGAGUGGUUUCUGCUAAAGGAACCUUUUGUCAGUCCUAGAAACACUGAUGAAUAAGGGGUGGGCAAGUUCUGGUGUCAGCCGCCGCGGUAAAACCAGCACCUCAAGUGGUCAGGAUGAUUAUUGGGCCUAAAGCAUCCGUAGCCUGCUUUGUAAGUUUUCGGUUAAAUCCAUACGCUCAACGUAUGGGCUGCCGGGAAUACUGCAAAGCUAGGGAGUGGGAGAGGUAGACGGUACUCGGUAGGAAGGGGUAAAAUCCUUUGAUCUAUUGAUGACCACCUGUGGCGAAGGCGGUCUACCAGAACACGUCCGACGGUGAGGGAUGAAAGCUGGGGGAGCAAACCGGAUUAGAUACCCGGGUAGUCCCAGCUGUAAACUAUGCAAACUCAGUGAUGCAUUGGCUUGAUGCCAAUGCAGUGCUGCAGGGAAGCCGUUAAGUUUGCCGCCUGGGAAGUACGUACGCAAGUAUGAAACUUAAAGGAAUUGGCGGGGGAGCACCACAAGGGGUGAAGCCUGCGGUUCAAUUGGAGUCAACGCCGGGAAUCCCGCGG
rnacentral:rRNA from 1 species